UACGUAGGGUGCGAGCGUUGUCCGGAAUUAUUGGGCGUAAAGAGCUCGUAGGCGGUUUGUCGCGUCGGCCGUGAAAACUUGGGGCUUAACCCCGAGCCUGCGGUCGAUACGGGCAGACUUGAGUUCGGCAGGGGAGACUGGAAUUCCUGGUGUAGCGGUGAAAUGCGCAGAUAUCAGGAGGAACACCGGUGGCGAAGGCGGGUCUCUGGUCCAUUACUGACGCUGAGGUGCGAAAGCGUGGGGAGCAAACAGG
rnacentral:rRNA from 1 species